AGCAGCGUGGCUCGGCGGAAAGAGCCUGGGCUUCGGAGUCAGAGGUCACGGGUUCGACUCCCGGCCCUGCCA
rfam:Ornithorhynchus anatinus chromosome X1, whole genome shotgun sequence.